AUGAGUCAUAACGUUAUAAGUUUACUAAUUUUUGUUUUGAUACUUCAACACACGACAGAUGCCUUUAAACGACGACGCUCACACGGUAGAAAUUUUGUGAAAGGGAAAGGUGCAACUCUGGAGGUACACCCUGGAGACACUCUUGUAUCGAGUCUAAUAGUCAACAAGAAAACCAAAAACAUCCCCAUUCAUCCACCGUACCGCUGGUAUUACGCUAUCAGUUCGGAUGAUUUAUUGUUUUUUACGUACUCUCAUGAAAAGAAAGAUGGAAAGUGGCAGCUAAAAUUCAAGCCGAAGUUGAUCAAACGAAAAGAAGCACCGUACGCUGACGUGAACUUCAAGAAUCGAGGGCGAAAGGAGCCGUUCGUGGGUGUAAUAGGGAGCCUGGUGGGCAUCCUCAUGACGACCACAGAACUUCCGUUCAACCUCUUGUUCUGCAACAGCAAACACUACGUCGAGUACCUCACUCGGGGCGUGGGUGAGGGCGAGUGGUACAAACCCUACUGGAACCGCACCAGCAAGAACUGUCCUGUUCACAAUCCGCUAAAAAGUGAUGCCGAGUCAUUUUUGAAGAUCUUUUGGUUGAGAAAAUUUGAACUCAAGGAUAAGGAGAAUAAUACGAUCCAACUGUCUAUUCCCAAAUGGCCGCUUGAAAUAAUCCCGUUGCCACCUUUGCCCAAGUCUUGGGAGGCACAUGCUCAGAGAUUGAUAGAGCCGAAGAAACCGUAGUGAGUGUUCUAACCGACGAUGAAGUCCUUGCAUGAAGCAGGCGAUGGAGCUCUCGCAUACUACGAGCUUUUGAUUCAAGUACUGUGUCCACUUACUGAGCCUUGGAGUAUCUAUUUAGGAAAAGUACGGACUUAUCCGAAUUUGGAGGCUAGGCUAUGGAGCUUUUGGGGCUUAAGAGGCAGCCAACCUAUGAAUUUAAAUUAUCCAGAGUGAUUUAUAAUUACAAUUGUCACAAUCCGCCGUUCGUUAAGCACGCAUUUGACGUAGUUUUUGCAUAAAUUUACUUACUUUUGUGGAAAGAAUGCUCAUUAUUGAACAUUCCUAGCCAUCUUGGUUUGAUUUUGGAAUGUGAGGAUUGGCAGUGAUAUUUUUUGUGUUAGAAGGUUGAUUGCCCUUUCGGGCCCUAGAAGCUCUAUAUUUCGAUAACAAUUUUAAAUUUAUUUAGCCAAAACACUGCAUUUACACUGACAAUAAACUGUACUUUUCUAUAUUUCGACAUUCCCGUGGUCUCUUUAUAUAGGCACUCUUAUCUUUUUAUAUAGAGAAGAUGUGCAAUUAAUAUAACACGAAUGCUCAAAGAAAGAGACAAUAAGCUAUGCGACUUUAAGGCAAACUUGGAGGGAUUUUGGGGGCCCAAAAUCACCAAUAUAGAGGAGGGCAGCCUCUGUGAGUGCUUGCCUGUCAUCCGUUAGCAUUUUACGAGUAGAUUUGUAUGAAUAGGAAUCCCCCCCCCCCUCUAAUUUUUUCGUGUGUAGGAAGCCAUAUGGUAAUCCCUGAAAUGGUAUUUUUCCUGAAUUUCUGUGGUUGCGUGAUAACCACUGUAAUCACGUCAUCACUCAAUUUUUUAUAAACAAUUUUGUUUCUGCUGCACAGGAUGAGCCUGUGUCGGCUUGAAAUAUUGUCCUGUUGUUUUAUAGUUUUUUUUCAAAACUGUUGUCCUUGAAUAGCCCAUUUUUGUAUUUUUCCUUUCCCGUUUUUAUUGACUUACCGCCCUUUUGUUGUAUGAACGAAGAAGGUGCUUGAGUUUUGAUUUUUAUCAAUCAAGCUCUUGCAUGGUAGGGGGAUAUACAAUUUUACUCGUAAUUUUUCCUGGCUAAAAUUUGAGGAAAACCAAGAUGCACCCACUGAUUUGCUCUAAAAAGAGCUCCUUACAUUGAAAAAAGCUCUCAAAAUUCAGGCUGUAAUGGGAGGCAUUCGGAUCCCUUCCCUGGUAGCAUCGACUUGAAGUUCAAUUAAACUUUACAUGUUUAUCAUAUCAAGAUCGUAGCACAGUUGUUCGGGUUCAUUUAAAAAUAAAACAAGUGAAUAUACUACAUGCAACGUAAAAAACUCAAAAUUUAUGCAAAAUGUAGCUUUUUUGUUGAAAUUUGCUGAAAUAACGUAAUAAAAAACUUGUACAUGUGAAAGGUGGCAUUUUUAAGUAUAAAGAACAAAAAUGGUCGCCUUACUCAGAUAGCUAUGGUAGUUUUUUAUUCUAAAGUUCUCUCUAUAAAAUUUACAACUAUUUCAACUUUUCUUAGCAGCCAAUGCCACUAGGGUGGCGUUUUACCAGAUUCCACCUCUUUAUUCUCUCAAACUCUCCACAGAUAGGGAGCGAAUACAUUAGCAGGGUUGCCACAUUCAGGAGAGACUCCAUAGUCUUAGAAAACUGAUAAUUUCUUAGCUUGGAACCAAGGCAGACGCGAUAAUGUAUUCUCUCUCCCUAUAUGUGCAUGGAAAGUAUGACCCAAUACAGAGGUAGACUCCCUCAGAACGAUAGGGAUCCAUUCCAUUACAUUUCAGCCUCACCUUGGAGAGCAGUUUUUGAGCUCGGACCAAGAGGAAACUAGUGGUGCCAACGUUGUUUCCGCAUUUUAGUACGAAAUAUUACCUGAUUCGCAAGUCCCCUCAGCAUACAAGAGCUCAGAGCUAAAGAGUAGUAACCAAAGAUGUUGGCAAAAUCGAGUUACUUACAUUUUCAGUAUGCUAACGUAGAAGCUAUCUACAUAGAAUCAGGCAGAUGACGAGUAGUUAAGAAUGAUCAAGUGUACAAAACAAUAAUGACAAUGGUCUAUACAGAGUGCACUUGUGCAAAAAACAUUAAAAUCACAAUUUGAAAAAUUCUGACUGCGCGAGUUUGAACCAUCACUCUAGACACAGUACGGCCGGCGCGGAACACAUGUUAGUGCCUGCAAGACUACAUGGAUGCUUCACGCAUUGCGCGUACAGCCAGUCGGCGCGGUGCACAUGUUAGCGCCUGCACGACUGCCUGGAUACUUCACGCAUUGCACGUACACCAUAUUGGCCCACGUAUUGGCCUCCUGUGGUGUAGAGGUUGUAGCGCUUGUUCUAUGAUCGGGGGUCCUGGAUUCGAUCGCCGGCCGGGUAUUCCGAGUUUGAUAUUUUCAAAUAGCGGUUACCUGAGGCUGGGUCAUUACUAAGUAAACGAAAGUUAAUGCAAUUACUAAGGUGUUAUUUUGUGAUUCCUCCGAGAAGAAGGGAAUUUAGUUUAGACUCCUCUGACCUAAACUAUUCACAGCUUGCAAGGGAACAAACAUAAUAAUUUUAUAUUUUUGUGAGAUAUAUUUUUGAAUUUUACCGGGUGAUAUAAUAAAAUAAUUGGCAGUUACCUAUACUAUAAUAAAAUGAAUCGUUAUUUAUUUCCAUACCCUGCAUGUAAAAGUAUCAUUUACUAGAAAAGGAACAG
rnacentral:lncRNA from 1 species